rnacentral:rRNA from 1 species
GUCAGCCGCCGCGGUAACACCGGCGGCCCGAGUGGUGAUCGUGAUAUUGGGUCUAAAGGGUCCGUAGCCGGUUGGUCAGUCCUCCGGGAAAUCUGAUAGCUCAACUAUUAGGGCUUUCGGGGGAUACUGCCAGACUUGGAACCGGGAGAGGUAAGAGGUACUACAGGGGUAGGAGUGAAAUCUUGUAAUCCCUGUGGGACCACCUGUGGCGAAGGCGUCUUACCAGAACGGGUUCGACGGUGAGGGACGAAAGCUGGGGGGCACGAACCGGAUUAGAUACCCGGGUAGUCCCAGCCGUAAACGAUGCUCGCUAGGUGUCAGGCAUGGCGCGACCGUGUCUGGUGCCGCAGGGAAGCCGUGAAGCGAGCCACCUGGGAAGUACGGCCGCAAGGCUGAAACUUAAAGGAAUUGGCGGGGGAGCACAACAACGGGUGGAGCCCUGCGGUUUAAUUGGACUCAACGCCGGACAACUCACCGGGGGGCGACAGCAAUAUGUAGGCCAAGCUGAAGACUUUGCCUGAAUCGCUGAGAGAAGAGGUGCAUGG